AUUGAACGCUGGCGGCAUGCCUUACACAUGCAAGUCGAACGGUAACGCGGGGCAACCUGGCGACGAGUGGCGAACGGGUGAGUAAAGUAUCGGAACGUGCCCAGUAGUGGGGGAUAGCCCGGCGAAAGCCGGAUUAAUACCGCAUGAGACCUGAGGGUGAAAGCGGGGGAUCGCAAGACCUCGCGCUAUUGGAGCGGCCGAUAUCAGAUUAGGUAGUUGGUGGGAUAAAAGCUUACCAAGCCGACGAUCUGUAGCUGGUCUGAGAGGACGACCAGCCACACUGGGACUGAGACACGGCCCAGACUCCUACGGGAGGCAGCAGUGGGGAAUUUUGGACAAUGGGCGCAAGCCUGAUCCAGCCAUGCCGCGUGCAGGAUGAAGGCCUUCGGGUUGUAAACUGCUUUUGUACGGAACGAAAAGACUCUGGUUAAUACCUGGGGUCCAUGACGGUACCGUAAGAAUAAGCACCGGCUAACUACGUGCCAGCCGCCGCCGUAA
rnacentral:rRNA from 1 species